GGGGGUGUCCUGGUUUCGACGGGGGUUGCGAAAUCGACCGGCGCAUGCCGAGGGGGCUGCUUUCCUCGUUAAUCCAGCGGCGAAAAAAAUAGUUGCCAACGACGACAACUACGCUCUGGCCGCCUAAGGCCUAGCCCCGAACCCACUUGUGCCCGUGCUCGUGGAUGUAGGGUCAUCAUCACGGGAUCGCCGGAGGUGGCCGCCUGCCUGCCUCCGGUCAAACCAGGCAGGCUGGUCCCAGGGCGCGCUUCGCACACCGUGCUGCCCGGGGGCGAGACCCAACGGUGGGCUAAGCAUGUAGUGCCGGAGAUGGAGUGCCUUCGGACGGCGGUUCGACUCCGCCCACCUCCACCA
rnacentral:tmRNA from 2 species